rnacentral:rRNA from 1 species
GCCGACUUCCAUGGCCACCGUCCUGCUGUCUUUAGUUACUAACGCCUUUUGUGGGGUCCGAUAUGCGUUGCUUUUGGCACUAUAACUUUACGACCGGUUCAUCCCGCAUCGCCAGUUCUGCUUACCAAAAAUGGCCCACUGAAGGCCUUCACUAUCUAUCCGUUAGCUACGUAGUCCGCUAGCUAACGGAAAACACACACAUUAACAGUUUGAGAAUAGGUUGAGAACGUUUCGAACCCAACGGCUCUAAUCAUUCGCUUUACCGCAUGUGACUAUUUCACAUAGACCUCAGCUAUCCUUAGGGAAACUUCGAAAGGAACCAGCUACUAGAUGGUUCGAUUGGUCUUUCGCCCCUAUACAUAGUUCUGAUGAUCGAUUUGCACGUCAGAACCAUUGCGGACCUCCACCAGAGUUUCCCCUGGCUUCAUCCUUUCCAUGCAUAGUUCACCAUCUUUCGGGUUCCAGAGCACGAGCUACGAGUACGGCAGCGCCAUUGCUGACGCGUAGUUGCCAUCUCCGAUUUGCCUAGACGACGGACAUCGACGUCACGCGCGUCUCAUCAUACAACUAGGAAUACGUGCCCGCGAGCACGAUUCGAUUGCUUUCGUUAAGUUUGACGGAUUCAUAAUAAAAGAACCUUUGCGUCACGCUCGUUCGCUGGACUCCUUGGUCC